rnacentral:sRNA from 1 species
AGCGCCUGUGACGGGCCAGGCGCGGGGCCGAGAAAAGACUUCGCAGGCAGCCGCCCCGCGUACGGUUUGGUACAAUACCUGAAUUUCAGGUAUUUAACGGUUUC